rnacentral:rRNA from 1 species
GAUCCUGGCUCAGAAUCAACGCUGGCGGCGCGCUUAACACAUGCAAGUCGAACGAGAAAGCCCGCAAGGGUGAGUAAAGUGGCGUACGGGUGAGUAACACGUGGGUAAUCUACCUUUUGGUGGGGAAUAACCCUGGGAAACCGGGGCUAAUACCGCAUAAGCUCGAAAGAGGAAAGGAGCAAUUCGCCGAAAGAGGAGCCCGCGGCUGAUUAGCUAGUUGGUGAGGUAAAGGCUCACCAAGGCUAUGAUCGGUAGCCGGCCUGAGAGGGCACACGGCCACACUGGCACUGAAACACGGGUCAGACUCCUACGGGAGGCAGCAGUGGGGAAUCUUGCACAAUGGGGGAAACCCUGAUGCAGCGACGCCGCGUGAGUGAUGACGCCCUUCGGGGUGUAAAGCUCUUUCGGCAGGGACGAUAAUGACGGUACCUGAAGAAGAAGCUGCGGCUAACUACGUGCCAGCAGCCGCGGUAAUACGUAGGCAGCGAGCGUUGUUCGGAGUUACUGGGCGUAAAGAGUGCGUAGGCGGUUUUCUAAGUUUGGUGUGAAAUCUCCCGGCUUAACUGGGAGGGUGCGCCGAAGACUGGAAGGCUUGAGUAUGGGAGAGGUAAGCGGAAUUCCUGGUGUAGCGGUGAAAUGCGUAGAUAUCAGGAGGAACACCUGCGGUGUAGACGGCUUACUGGACCAUAA